UACGGAGGGGGCUAGCGUUGUUCGGAAUCACUGGGCGUAAAGCGCACGUAGGCGGAUUUUUAAGUCAGAGGUGAAAUCCCAAGGCUCAACCUUGGAACUGCCUUUGAUACUGGGAAUCUUGAGUGUGGUAGAGGUUGGUGGAACAGCAAGUGUAGAGGUGAAAUUCGUAGAUAUUUGCUAGAACACCAGUGGCGAAGGCGGCCAACUGGACCAUAACUGACGCUGAGGUGCGAAAGCGUGGGGAGCAAACAGG
rnacentral:rRNA from 1 species